CACAGGGCUACUGAAGCAGAGCACACGAACGUAACCACUAAGCCACCACACCCACAAACAGAAGGUGGACAUGAUGACUGGAGUUUUAGCAACCAUCUUAUGACAAUUAAGCGAUCCUAAACCAUAGCUAAGGAUGGAGGAAGAUAGAGGCUAGGUCCCUGAUGAGAUUGUGGAGCUGCCACACAAGCCCUGUGUUGCCUAUCUCUGAACUUCUCGUUAUAGGAGAAAAUAAAACAACUUGUUUAAGCCACA